UGCCGCACGCCGGGCGGGGGCCGGGCCCGCCGCGGGAGGAGCCUGGUCCCGGGAUGCUGGGGAAGGAAGCCGCCCAGCCCCGGGGCUUGGCCACCGGAGGAGGGAAGCGGCGUGACGGGAGCGGCUGGCGGAGGGCAGGGCUGGGGGCUCAGGCCUGGCUGUGAAGAGAGGCCCGGAAGCUGAUGAAGAAGGACCUUGGGAUUUGGCUUUUUCAGCGGCUGCAGCUGGGAGGGAAAGACGGCGAAGCGGGGAGUGGUGGGAGUUGCCUUUCGGGCUUUGCGCGUCCGCUGUGGGUUGGUCCUUUGGGAGAAGUGAGGAGGUCUAGGAGCUCGGCACCGGAGAAGCCCAGGUCGCCAGCUGGGUCCUGGAGAGGGUGUCCGUCUUGCCUUCUGUUAGAUCAGAAAGCGAAAGGGUCGCAGGGUUGGUCCCGACGUGAGAGGCCGGUGGCUGGAGGCGAGCGUCCCAGCCGGCAUCCAAGCCCUCACCUCUGUGGAGAGAAGUGGCUCCGUGUCUGUUCCUGCGACCCGCAGGACUCGCGCGGACGCCAUGGAAGACUAGCUCUUGUCCCCUAGCUCGGGGCUUCCACCUUCUACUCCCCAGGGACGAGAAACUCAGCACCUGCGAUGUAUGAGCAGUGAAGCACAGGAAUGGUGUGUCAGAUGUAG